rnacentral:rRNA from 1 species
GACGAACGCUGGCGGCGUGCCUAAUACAUGCAAGUAGAACGCUGAAGGAGGAGCUUGCUUCUCUGGAUGAGUUGCGAACGGGUGAGUAACGCGUAGGUAACCUGCCUGGUAGCGGGGGAUAACUAUUGGAAACGAUAGCUAAUACCGCAUAAUAUUGACUAUUGCAUGAUAGUCAGUUGAAAGGUGCAACUGCACCACUACCAGAUGGACCUGCGUUGUAUUAGCUAGUUGGUGGGGUAACGGCUCACCAAGGCGACGAUACAUAGCCGACCUGAGAGGGGGGUCGGCCAACCUGGGACUGAGACACGGCCCAGACUCCUACCGGAGGCAGCAGUAGGGAAUCUUCGGCAAUGGACGGAAGUCUGAACGAGCAACGCCGCGUGAGUGAAGAAGGGUUUCGGAUCGUAAAGCUCUGUUGUAAGAGAAGAACGAGUGUGAGAGUGGAAAGCUCACACUGUGACGGUAUCUUACGAGAAAGGGACGGCUAACUACGUG